GAUGAACGCUGGCGGCGUGCCUAAUACAUGCAAGUCGAGCGAACGGACGAGAAGCUUGCUUCUCUGAUGUUAGCGGCGGACGGGUGAGUAACACGUGGAUAACCUACCUAUAAGACUGGGAUAACUUCGGGAAACCGGAGCUAAUACCGGAUAAUAUUUUGAACCGCAUGGUUCAAAAGUGAAAGACGGUCUUGCUGUCACUUAUAGCUGGAUCCGCGCUGCAUUAGCUAGUUGGUAAGGUAACGGCUUACCAAGGCAACGAUGCAUAGCCGACCUGAGAGGGUGAUCGGCCACACUGGAACUGAGACACGGUCCAGACUCCUACGGGAGGCAGCAGUAGGGAAUCUUCCGCAAUGGGCGAAAGCCUGACGGAGCAACGCCGCGUGAGUGAUGAAGGUCUUCGGAUCGUAAAACUCUGUUAUUAGGGAGGAACAUAUGUGUAAGUAACUGUGCACAUCUUGACGGUACCUAAUCAGAAAGCCACGGCUAACUACGUG
rnacentral:rRNA from 1 species